GGGGGAACCCUGAUGCAGCCAUGCCGCGUGUGUGAAGAAGGCCUUCGGGUUGUAAAGCACUUUCAGUUGUGAGGAAAGGUUAACGGUUAAUACCCGUUAGCUGUGACGUUAGCAACAGAAGAAGGACCGGCUAACUCCGUGCCAGCAGCCGCGGUAAUACGGAGGGUCCGAGCGUUAAUCGGAAUUACUGGGCGUAAAGCGCACGCAGGCGGUUUGUUAAGCUAGAUGUGAAAGCCCUGGGCUCAACCUGGGAAUUGCAUUUARAACUGGCAGGCUAGAGUUUUGGAGAGGGGAGUGGAAUUCCAGGUGUAGCGGUGAAAUGCGUAGAUAUCUGGAGGAACAUCAGUGGCGAAGGCGACUCCCUGGUCAGUAACUGACGCUCAUGUGCGAAAGUGUGGGUAGCGAACAGGAUUAGAUACCCUGGUAGUCCACACCGUAAACGCUGCCUACUAGCUGUUUGUGGAUUUAAUCCGUGAGUAGCGAAGCUAACGCGAUAAGUAGACCGCCUGGGGAGUACGGCCGCAAGGUUAAAACUCAAAUGAAUUGACGGGGGCCCGCACAAGCGGUGGAGCAUGUGGUUUAAUUCGAUGCAACGCGAAGAACCUUACCUACUCUUGACAUACUGAGAACUUAGCAGAGAUGCUUUGGUGCCUUCGGGAACUCANAUACAGGUGCUGCAUGGCUGUCGUCAGCUCGUGUCGUGAGAUGUUGGGUUAAGUCCCGC
rnacentral:rRNA from 1 species